rnacentral:misc_RNA from 1 species
GAAGAACCCUUUGACGUUGUUUGAGAAGAAGCUUCAUGUUCUCGCAGUCAUUACUGUCACUUCUUUGUGGAGGAAUAUCGAGAGUCCCAUCACCACAGCUGAUCCAACAAUUUCGGCAAACAUCAGGAUCGCAUUCCCUGUCAACAGCAAAGCAAGGGCAUUGUCUGCUUCUACACUGACCUUUUACGCAAAAACAACCACGAAAGUGAUUCUUGCAAUUCUUGAAACUUUUGCAUCCGCAAUAUUUUUCACAGAGGGUCCCAUUAACGAUAC